GUAGGGAAUAUUGGGCAAUGGGUGCAAGCCUGACCCAGCCAUCCCGCGUGCCGGAUGAAGGCCCUCUGGGUUGUAAACGGCUUUUGACGGUGAAGAAUCGACAGGAUGCGUCCUGUUUUGACGGUAGCCGUUGAAUAAGCACCGGCUAACUCCGUGCCAGCAGCCGCGGUAAUACGGAGGGUGCGAGCGUUGUCCGGGUUUAUUGGGUUUAAAGGGUGCGUAGGCUGGAAGGUCAGUCAGCGGUGAAAAGCUGUCGCUUAACGAUAGUCUUGCCGCAGAUACUUCCUUUCUUGGAUGAGGAGGAGGCCACUGGAACGGAUGGUGUAGCGGUGAAAUGCAUAGAUAUCAUCCAGAACACCGAUUGCGAAGGCAGGUGGCUGUACCUUAAUCGACGCUGAUGCACGAAAGCAUGGGGAGCAAACAGGAUUAGAAACCCUUGUAGUCC
rnacentral:rRNA from 1 species